GUUUGAUCCUGGCUCAGAACGAACGCUGGCGGCAGGCCUAACACAUGCAAGUCGAGCGAGAUCUUCGGAUCUAGCGGCGGACGGGUUAGUAACGCGUGGGAACGUACCCUUUUCUAAGGAAUAGCCACUGGAAACGGUGAGUAAUGCCUUAUACGCCCUUCGGGGGAAAGAUUUAUCGGUGAGAGAUCGGCCCGCGUCUGAUUAGGUAGUUGGUGGGGUAAUGGCCUACCAAGUCUACGAUCUAUAGCUGGUUUUAGAGGAUGAUCAGCAACACUGGGACUGAGACACGGCCCAGACUCCUAC
rnacentral:rRNA from 1 species